rnacentral:tRNA from 2 species
UCCUGGUUACCUCAGCUGGUAGAGCUCUCCACUGGAAAAAGAGAGGCCUCUGGUUCAAUACCAGGACCAGGCG